rnacentral:rRNA from 1 species
UACGAGGGGGGCAACUGUUGUUCGGAAUCACUGGGCGUAAAGGGUGCGUAGGCGGGUUUUUAAGUCAGGUGUUUAAUCCCGGGGCCCAACCCCGGACAGGCACUUGAAACUGGGAAUCUUGAAUAGGGGAGAGGUCAGUGGAAUUGGAGGUGUAGCGGUGGAAUGCGUAGAGAUCUCCAAGAACACCAGUUGCGAAGGCGGCUGACUGGACCCAUAUUGACGCUGAGGCUCGAAAGCAUGGGGAGCAAACAGG